AUUGAACGCUGGCGGCAGGCCUAACACAUGCAAGUCGAGCGAGCGGCGGACGGGUGAGUAAUGUCUGGGAAACUGCCUGAUGGAGGGGGAUAACUACUGGAAACGGUAGCUAAUACCGCAUACCAUCAUAUGUGCCCAGAUGGGAUUAGCUAGUAGGUGGGGUAACGGCUCACCUAGGCGACGAUCCCUAGCUGGUCUGAGAGGAUGAUCAGCCAGACUGGAACUGAGACACGGUCCAGACUCCGACGGGAGGCAGCAGUGGGGAAUAUUGAACAAUGGGCGAAAGCCUGAUACAGCCAUGCCGCGUGUGUGAAGAAGGCCUUCGGGUUGUAAAGCACUUUAAGCGGGGAGGCGUUACCAGCAGAAGAAGCACCGGCUAACUCCGUGCCAGCCGCCGCGGUAAUAC
rnacentral:rRNA from 1 species